UAGGGAAUCUUCGGCAAUGGACGGAAGUCUGACCGAGCAACGCCGCGUGAGUGAAGAAGGUUUUCGGAUCGUAAAGCUCUGUUGUUAGAGAAGAACGUUGGUAGGAGUGGAAAAUCUACCAAGUGACGGUAACUAACCAGAAAGGGACGGCUAACUACGUGCCAGCAGCCGCGGUAAUACGUAGGUCCCGAGCGUUGUCCGGAUUUAUUGGGCGUAAAGCGAGCGCAGGCGGUUCUUUAAGUCUGAAGUUAAAGGCAGUGGCUUAACCAUUGUACGCUUUAAAAACUGGAGGACUUGAGUGCAGAAGGGGAAAGUGGAAUUCCAUGUGUAGCGGUGAAAUGCGUAAAUAUAUGGAGGAACACCGGUGGCGAAAGCGGCUCUCUGGUCUAUAACUGACGCUGAGGCUCGAAAGCGUGAGGAGCAAACAGG
rnacentral:rRNA from 1 species